rnacentral:SRP_RNA from 1 species
UCGUGCUAGGCGGGGGGCUAGCGGUACCCUGUACCGGCAAUCCGCUACAGCCGGGCUGAAUUCCCGCCCAGAGGUGGCUCUGUUUGGGGUCUGACCCUUGUAAGUGGCGAUGAGGGCUGGGUCCCGCGCAAGGGAGCGCCGGUGAACCCCGCCAGGCCCGAAAGGGAGCAACGGUAGCUGGCUGCGACCUGUGCCGCGGGGGCGCCUGGCCGGAGCUGGCUGCAGGGGUAACGCCUGGGCAGGGCUUAUCGAAGGCGGGUGCACGG